UCUUACGGCCAUACCACCCUGGAAAUGCCCGAUCUCAUCUGAACUCGGAAGUAAAGCAGGGUCGGGCCUGGUUAGUACUUGGAUGGGAGACGAAGUGCUUCAUUUGGCAGCUGAUUUAA
rnacentral:rRNA from 1 species